AUGCAGGAGGGGCUCGCAGAUACACACCGCUACGACCCCAAGUACAUACCCUAUGUCCAGCCUAGGCGAGGCACCCUUGUUGGAGACGCAGUCUACUUCACCGUUCGGCUAGGCAAUGCUAUCGUCGAGUAUGACCUGGGCAAGGAUCGCUUAAACAUGAUUGACCCACCACCGGCGGCGCGAGACGUGUGCUACAUUUCCCUCAUGGCGAUGGAUGACAGUUCAUUGGGCUUUGCCUGCAUUAAGGGAUCGAGCCUUUGUACGUGGUCAAGGAAGGUGGAUACAGCUGAAGCUGCGGAAUGGGUACAGUACAGGGUCAUCGAGCUCGAGAAAACUAUACCUGUUGCCAAUCCCGAUGACAAAAGAUUUGUGGUUGGCUUUGCGGAGGGUGCUGGUGUCAUCUUUGUUAGCUCAGGUGUUGGCUUAUUCACCAUCAAGCUCAAUUCUGGGCAGGUUAAGAAGGUUGACGAGUCUGAAGUCUCUUUUAGCGUCCUACCCUACAUGAGCUUCUACACUCCAGAUCGUGGCAGAUUGUUGUCUCUAGCGAGGACUCAGUGA
rnacentral:rRNA from 1 species